rnacentral:rRNA from 1 species
AGAAUCAACGCUGGCGGCGUGCCUAACACAUGCAAGUCGAGCGGAAAGGCCCUUCGGGGUACUCGAGCGGCGAACGGGUGAGUAACACGUGAGUAAUCUGCCCCUAGCUCUGGGAUAGCUCCGGGAAACCGGGAUUAAUACCAGAUACGACCACUUUAGACAUCUGUUGUGGUGGAAAGAAUUUUGGCUAGGGAUGAGCUCGCGGCCUAUCAGCUUGUUGGUGAGGUAACGGCUCACCAAGGCGACGACGGGUAGCCGGCCUGAGAGGGCGACCGGCCACACUGGGACUGAGACACGGCCCAGACUCCUACGGGAGGCAGCAGUGGGGAAUAUUGCGCAAUGGGCGAAAGCCUGACGCAGCGACGCCGCGUGGGGGAUGAAGGCCUUCGGGUUGUAAACCCCUUUCAGCAGGGACGAAGGCGAAAGUGACGGUACCUGCAGAAGAAGCGCCGGCUAACUACGUGCCAGCAGCCGCGGUAA